GAUUAACGCUAGCGGCAGGCCUAAUACAUGCAAGUCGAACGGCAGCGGGUGUAGCAAUACAUGCCGGCGAGUUGCGCACGGGUGCGUAACGCGUAUGCAACUUACCUAUAACUGGGGAAUAGCUCUCGGAAACGGGCAUUAAUACCGCAUAAUAUCCCGAUUUGGCAUCAUAUUGUGAUCAAAACUCCGGUGGUUAUAGAUAGGCAUGCGUGACAUUAGCUAGUUGGUGAGGUAACGGCUCACCAACGCUACGAUGUCUAGGGGGUCUGAGAGGAUCAUCCCCCACACUGGUACUGAGACACGGACCAGACUGCUACGUGAGGCAGCAGUAAGGAAUAUUGGACAAUGGCCGCAAGGCUGAUCCAGCCAUGCCGCGUGCAGGAUGAAGGUGCUCUGCAUUGUAAACUGCUUUUGUUCGGGAAUAAACCCCUCUACGUGUAGAGGGCUUAAUGUACCGAAAGAAUAAGGGUCGGCUAACUUCGUGCCAGCAGCCGCAGUAA
rnacentral:rRNA from 1 species